GGUGAAGGCGAAGCAGGCCGUUGAUAGAGAUCCUAAAUGCCGCAACAAAGUUUCAUGUGCUGACAUUUUGGCUCUCGCUACUCGUGAAGUCGUCGUUUUGGUAUGAAUAUACCUUUUUUUUUUUUUUUUUUGGUAACACGAAUAUACCUUUUUCUAGUAACCUAUAUUUAUAUUCAUCUCUUUCUUGUCCUUAAUUUUAUAAUGUCCGAGGUAUUGAAAUUGGCUUUUGCGGGUGAAAAGCUACUCACUAUUAAAUAGUAAAUAUAAAUACCAUGGUUGGAGUUAAAAAAAUAUAUUAGUAUGCAUUGUUUGAAUUAAAAAUUCAUAUAUAUAUAUAUUUUUAUAAUACUGUGACACCUUUUGUUGGAGGUUUGUAAUCAUUUUAUACGAGUACAACUAACAAGA
rnacentral:lncRNA from 1 species